AGGAUUAUAGUUUAAUUAAAACAUUUGAUUUGCAUUCAAAAAAUAUUAUCAAUUUUAAUUUAUCUUA
rnacentral:tRNA from 1 species